GCGGUAGAUUACUAUGUCACAAAUUUGUUUUCGGAUGUUUUCAAUAACUGUAUUUCAGUAAAACUGGCUUCUUUUAUAAUCCUACGGUGCAUUUGGGAACACCGUAAGGAGUCCACAGGCUUCACCAGACUGCCAGAGGGGUCCUGGGCACAGAAAGGGUCAGGACCCCCUGACUCAAAAUGCUCCUCUGAGUCCUCAGGGGCCUCUGUGACCAAUCAAGCUCCCAGCACCAAGCGCCUCUGUGUACAGUGGGACAAUGGAGGGCUGAAGGAUGAGCCACCUAAUUUCUUGAGCUCCAGGAGGUGGCUGAGGUUUCAGAAGCUGUACCUGACAGAUAAUUACACGAAGACAAAUUGUGCACUGCCGUACCCUUCUCCCAGUAUGGCAACCUCCAGACUGCGUGAGUUGGGGAUGGGGGGCGGGGAUAGGGAAGGCAGCGGGCGCUGAACUGCGGGAGGGCGGGGGCUGGGCCCAGCUGGCCGCAAACUGGGGCCCACUAAGGAGCUGGGAAGAACUGGGGCGAGCUCUCACCGAAGCACAAACACUUCUCGGGAUUG
rnacentral:lncRNA from 13 species